rnacentral:rRNA from 1 species
GACGAACGCUGGCGGCGUGCUUAACACAUGCAAGUCGAACGGAGUGGCGAACGGGUGAGUAACACGUGGGUGACCUGCCCUGCACUUCGGGAUAAGCCUGGGAAACUGGGUAUAAUACCAGAUAGUUUGGGAUGGGCCCGCGGCCAAUCAGCUUGUUGGUUGGGUAAUGGCCUACCAAGGCGGCGACGGGUUGCCGGCCUGGGAGGGUGGACGGACACAAUGGGACUGAGACAUGGCCCAGAGUCGUAUGGUAGACAGCAGGGGGGAAUAGUGCGCAAUGGGCGGAAGCCUGAGGCAGCGCCGCCGGGUGGGGGAUGACGGCCUUCGGGUUGUAAACUCCUUUCACCAUCGACGCGGUAGAUGGAGAAGAAGCACCGGCUAACUACGUGCCAGCAGCCGCGGUAAUAC